CCCAUGUGCUAAAUAAAUUCACUGAGUAAAUUUUUGAUGAUUCAGAUACUUAGAAUAGAAGAACUUUUCCUUCUCUAUGUGUCAUAAAAAUUUUAUUAAUUUUUGGCAUUAAAACAUAGGAUUUCUGAUUUAUCUUCUAAGGCAACGUGUUUAAUAAAGAGCCUUCUUUAAGAAGGACUCUUUAUUUCUCCUGCUGAUUUGAGGUAGGCAGCAAUUAUAUCUUUGUGUGGCUUUUAGUGA
rnacentral:lncRNA from 1 species